UCAGGUCACUAGACACCUCAGAGUUCACACUGGAGAGAAGCCAUAUGAGCAUAGAGAAUGUGGGAAGUCUUUUAGACAAAACUCCAGCCCUCCUAAGCAACUGA